UUAAGCGACUAAGCGUACACGGUGGAUGCCCUGGCAGUCAGAGGCGAUGAAGGACGUGCUAAUCUGCGAAAAGCGUCGGUAAGGUGAUAUGAACCGUUAUAGCCGGCGAUGUCCGAAUGGGGAAACCCAGUGUGAUUCGUCACACUAUCGUUAACUGAAUACAUAGGUUAACGAGGCGAACCGGGGGAACUGAAACAUCUAAGUACCCCGAGGAAAAGAAAUCAACCGAGAUUCCCCCAGUAGCGGCGAGCGAACGGGGAGCAGCCCAGAGUCUGAAUCAGCUUGUGUGUUAGUGGAACGGUCUGGAAAGUCCGACGGUACAGGGUGAUAGUCCCGUACACCAAAAUGCACAGGUUGUGAACUCGAAGAGUAGGGCGGGACACGUGGUAUCCUGUCUGAAUAUGGGGGGACCAUCCUCCAAGGCUAAAUACUCCUGACUGACCGAUAGUGAACCAGUACCGUGAGGGAAAGGCGAAAAGAACCCCGGCGAGGGGAGUGAAAAAGAACCUGAAACCGUGUACGUACAAGCAGUGGGAGCACCUUCGGGUGUGACUGCGUACCUUUUGUAUAAUGGGUCAGCGACUUAUAUUCUGUAGCAAGGUUAACCGUAUAGGGGAGCCGCAGGGAAACCGAGUCUUAACUGGGCGUUAAGUUGCAGGGUAUAGACCCGAAACCCGGUGAUCUAGCCAUGGGCAGGUUGAAGGUUGGGUAACACUAACUGGAGGACCGAACCGACUAAUGUUGAAAAAUUAGCGGAUGACUUGUGGCUGGGGGUGAAAGGCCAAUCAAACCGGGAGAUAGCUGGUUCUCCCCGAAAGCUAUUUAGGUAGCGCCUCGUGAAUUCAUCUUCGGGGGUAGAGCACUGUUUCGGCUAGGGGGUCAUCCCGACUUACCAACCCGAUGCAAACUACGAAUACCGAAGAAUGUUAUCACGGGAGACACACGGCGGGUGCUAACGUCCGUCGUGAAGAGGGAAACAACCCAGACCGCCAGCUAAGGUCCCAAAGUCAUGGUUAAGUGGGAAACGAUGUGGGAAGGCACAGACAGCCAGGAUGUUGGCUUAGAAGCAGCCAUCAUUUAAAGAAAGCGUAAUAGCUCACUGGUCGAGUCGGCCUGCGCGGAAGAUGUAACGGGGCUAAACCAUGCACCGAAGCUGCGGCAGCGACACUAUGUGUUGUUGGGUAGGGGAGCGUUCUGUAAGCCUGCGAAGGUGUGCUGUGAGGCAUGCUGGAGGUAUCAGAAGUGCGAAUGCUGACAUAAGUAACGAUAAAGCGGGUGAAAAGCCCGCUCGCCGGAAGACCAAGGGUUCCUGUCCAACGUUAAUCGGGGCAGGGUGAGUCGACCCCUAAGGCGAGGCCGAAAGGCGUAGUCGAUGGGAAACAGGUUAAUAUUCCUGUACUUGGUGUUACUGCGAAGGGGGGACGGAGAAGGCUAUGUUAGCCGGGCGACGGUUGUCCCGGUUUAAGCAUGUAGGCUGAUUGUCCAGGCAAAUCCGGAUAAUCAAGGCUGAGGUGUGAUGACGAGGCACUACGGUGCUGAAGUAACAAAUGCCCUGCUUCCAGGAAAAGCCUCUAAGCAUCAGGUAACAUUAAAUCGUACCCCAAACCGACACAGGUGGUCAGGUAGAGAAUACCAAGGCGCUUGAGAGAACUCGGGUGAAGGAACUAGGCAAAAUGGUGCCGUAACUUCGGGAGAAGGCACGCUGGUGUGUAGGUGAAGUCCCUGCGGAUGGAGCUGAGACCAGUCGAAGAUACCAGCUGGCUGCAACUGUUUAUUAAAAACACAGCACUGUGCAAACACGAAAGUGGACGUAUACGGUGUGACGCCUGCCCGGUGCCGGAAGGUUAAUUGAUGGGGUUAUCCGUAAGGAGAAGCUCUUGAUCGAAGCCCCGGUAAACGGCGGCCGUAACUAUAACGGUCCUAAGGUAGCGAAAUUCCUUGUCGGGUAAGUUCCGACCUGCACGAAUGGCGUAAUGAUGGCCAGGCUGUCUCCACCCGAGACUCAGUGAAAUUGAACUCGCUGUGAAGAUGCAGUGUACCCGCGGCAAGACGGAAAGACCCCGUGAACCUUUACUAUAGCUUGACACUGAACAUUGAGCCUUGAUGUGUAGGAUAGGUGGGAGGCUUUGAAGCGUGGACGCCAGUCUGCGUGGAGCCAACCUUGAAAUACCACCCUUUAAUGUUUGAUGUUCUAACGUUGGCCCCUUACCGGGGUUGCGGACAGUGUCUGGUGGGUAGUUUGACUGGGGCGGUCUCCUCCCAAAGCGUAACGGAGGAGCACGAAGGUUAGCUAAUCCUGGUCGGACAUCAGGAGGUUAGUGCAAUGGCAUAAGCUAGCUUGACUGCGAGCGUGACGGCGCGAGCAGGUGCGAAAGCAGGUCAUAGUGAUCCGGUGGUUCUGAAUGGAAGGGCCAUCGCUCAACGGAUAAAAGGUACUCCGGGGAUAACAGGCUGAUACCGCCCAAGAGUUCAUAUCGACGGCGGUGUUUGGCACCUCGAUGUCGGCUCAUCACAUCCUGGGGCUGAAGUAGGUCCCAAGGGUAUGGCUGUUCGCCAUUUAAAGUGGUACGCGAGCUGGGUUUAGAACGUCGUGAGACAGUUCGGUCCCUAUCUGCCGUGGGCGCUGGAGAAUUGAGGGGGGCUGCUCCUAGUACGAGAGGACCGGAGUGGACGCAUCACUGGUGUUCGGGUUGUCAUGCCAAUGGCACUGCCCGGUAGCUAAAUGCGGAAGAGAUAAGUGCUGAAAGCAUCUAAGCACGAAACUUGCCCCGAGAUGAGUUCUCCCUGAGACUUUAAGUCUCCUGAAGGAACGUUGAAGACGACGACGUUGAUAGGCCGGGUGUGUAAGCGCAGCGAUGCGUUGAGCUAACCGGUACUAAUGAACCGUGAGGCUUAACCU
rnacentral:rRNA from 1 species